CAGUGUCUGGUGGGUAGUUUGACUGGGGCGGUCUCCUCCUAAAGAGUAACGGAGGAGCACGAAGGUUGGCUAAUCCUGGUCGGACAUCAGGAGGUUAGUGCAAUGGCAUAAGCCAGCUUGACUGCGAGCGUGACGGCGCGAGCAGGUGCGAAAGCAGGUCAUAGUGAUCCGGUGGUUCUGAAUGGAAGGGCCAUCGCUCAACGGAUAAAAGGUACUCCGGGGAUAACAGGCUGAUACCGCCCAAGAGUUCAUAUCGACGGCGGUGUUUGGCACCUCGAUGUCGGCUCAUCACAUCCUGGGGCUGAAGUAGGUCCCAAGGGUAUGGCUGUUCGCCAUUUAAAGUGGUACGCGAGCUGGGUUUAGAACGUCGUGAGACAGUUCGGUCCCUAUCUGCCGUGGGCGCUGGAAGAUUGAGGGGGGCUGCUCCUAGUACGAGAGGACCGGAGUGGACGCAUCACUGGUGUUCGGGUUGUCAUGCCAAUGGCACUGCCCGGUAGCUACAUGCGGAAGAGAUAAGUGCUGAAAGCAUCUAAGCACGAAACUUGCCCCGAGAUGAAUCUUCCCUGAGCCUUUAAGGCUCCUGAAGGAACGUUGAAGACGACGACGUUGAUAGGCCGGGUGUGUAAGCGCAGCGAUGCGUUGAGCUAACCGGUACUAAUGAACCGUGAGGCUUAACCUUACAAC
rnacentral:rRNA from 1 species